rnacentral:tRNA from 1 species
GGUCUCGUAGCUCAGUUGGUUAGAGUGUGACUCUUAUGAGUCGAAGGUUGUGGGUUCAAGCCCUGUAGGGACCA